rnacentral:lncRNA from 1 species
UAUAGUGUUCUAUUGGCUUAUGAAUGCUUCAUCAGCACAUGCCCAUGCUGUAUGGGUUAAUCUUAAAGAAAGGUUUGACAAGAUAGAUAGAUGAUUGUAACUGUGAGAAAUCAAGUACCUAAAAAAUCUCAGUUUUAGCAUUUCGCUCAUAUGGCUUUAAAAAACCCAAACCAUCGAUUUAGGGGAGCGGCCAAGAAGUUUCGCCCAAAAACGCACUCCGGCUGCUGUACCAUUCAUCGAUUCAUAAACCAGCACACACAAAAAUAUUACAAAAUAUUCUCAACUUUUCAUAUUUUUCUCAUGUCUUAAAUAAAAUUUUGUCUGCCCCUCCAAAAUAACACAGCCGUUAAGGGAGCUCAACAAGUAUCACCCAAAACACCAUUGAUCCAUAGGCGAACACACACACAAAAUCGCAAAAUAUCCUUAGGAUUUUUUUUGGCAAAACUUAUUGUGAACUCCCCUAACACCCUAUUAAAUGGAUUGUGUUGAUUUUGGGGAUGGAUGAAGGUCUUUCUAAAGCCAUAUGAGUGAAAUACUUAAAACUUAAGAUUUUUGAGAUUUUCUGUGUCUGUUAACCUAUGGAUCAAUAGGGGAUUCGAUCGUCGGAGUGAGUUUUGAGCAAAAUUUCUUGGUACGCACCUUACAACUUAAUAGAUCCUGUUGGUUUGGCAGGGAGGGGGGGUUGGAGUUUUUUUAAACAUAUAUGAGCGAAAUACUUAAAAAAUUAGGAUUUUUUUUGAAUAUCCGUGUCUGUUAACCUAUGGAUCAAUAGGGGGUUCGAUCGUCGGAGUGCGUUUUGAGCAAAAUUUCUUGGGCGCUCACCUAACAACUAAUUAAAUGUAAUGGUUUUUUUUUGGGGGAGGAGGGGGAGGUUUUUUUUUAGCCAUAUGAGCAAAAUACUAAAAACUAAGGAUUUUUGGGAAUUUUUUAUUUGUGUUAAUUAGCAUACGGAUUGUGUUGGUUUGGGGGGUUGGCGGAGAUUUUUUAAGCCAUAUGAGCGAAAUUUGAAAAACUAAACAUUUUUUGUGAUUUUUCGUAUGUGGUAGCCUAUAGGGGAUCCUAUCGUCGGAAUGGGCAUUUUGAGCAAAUUUCUUGGGCGCACCCUUUAUAACUUAUUAAUAGAUUGUGUUGGUUUAGGGGGUUGCUGAGGUUUUGUAAGCCAUAUGAACGAAGUACUAAAAACUGUGGAUUUUUUUGCGAUUUUUCAUGUGUUAGCCUAUGGAUUGAUGGGGUGUACAGUUGUUGGAGUGUGUUUUAGGUGAUACAUCUUGGGCGCUCCACGGAUGACCUAUUAAAUGGAUCAUGUUGGUAUGGGGGUAGGGGAGUGGCAGAACGAGGUUUUUUAAUCCAUAUAAGUGAUACACGAAACACUGAAUAUUCUUUUGCGAUUUAUUGUAUGUGUUAACCUAUGGAUCGAUGGGGUUUGCAAUCGCCGAAGUGAAUUUUGGGCAAAACUUCUUUGGCACACUCCUGGCGACCUAUUACAUCGAUCGUGUUGGUUAGGGGGUAACCCGAGGUUUUUUUAAGCCAUAUGAAUGAAAUAGGUAAAAUUGAAAAUUCUCAUUUGUUGGAUUGAUAAUAGAUCUGUCUGUAUAUAGGUCGGAUCGAUAAUCAAUAUUUCGAAUUCAAAAUCAAUCCGUCCAUGUCACACCCCUUUUUUCAUUCUCCAAAAAAAAGAUUCGUUUUAAAGUUCGAAAGGGUUUUAUUAUUUAAGUGACAAGAAAUGAAAAUUUAUUUCGGAAAAAAGAUUAUUUACAUUUUUAUUUAGAGUCGCCACUUGGCAUAAUCUGGUGUGCCGAGUCACCAUUGGAAAAUCCUUUUCAAAACCAUUUGACUCUUUAAAAUGGUUUGCGAGCAGAGAUUCCGGCUAAGGAAUUCUGUUGACCGAGGGGAAGGUGUUAGGCACCCCUCGAUCCCGUGGUUCAACCACGGUCGCUUGGUAGAGUGUAUCGAUAAUUUUUUGACACUAAGAAAUGUAUAAACCACACAAAAGUACGCAAAAUAAUCAAACAAUAAACAAAACAAAACAAUCCAAAAUGUAAAGUCCAGUCCAANNNNNNNNNNNNNNNNNNNNNNNAAGCUCCAAUGCCUUACCCGAUGCCGCGGGCCUUCAUCACGAUCAUUUUCCGCCAACAUGAUACGUCGGGGCAUUCCCCGGUGAAUAAGUACAGAAGACCUCGGGGCAUUCCCCGGCUAAAUGAAUACAUUUGAAUCGAAUACGAUAAAGUAGAAAACAUUCAACACAUACUCCUCAUUCAAACAUCCAAUGAAACACUUAUUUCUAAAUUUUUGCCUACCCGAACCUACCUUUGCCUAUCUAUUUCAACAAAAUUCAUGCUUAUUCCAAAUUAAACCGCUAAUAAUGAAUUAAAACAAAUACGUAUUCACUUUUAUCAAUUUUAAUUCCGCCCCAAACAAUCAAUUUUAAUUCUCCAAACGAGAUGUCAUCUCAUCACAUAAUCCAUAAUCAAUCCACAAUCAAGGGAAUCAAAUACCAAACCAGAACAACAACAAUUCACACCAUCAUGAAUCAACCAACACAUAAUAUUAGAAUCAAUGCAUCGGAUACCAUCAACAAUAAAACAAAAGAGUUAAAGAGUAGAAUUAGACCUCGAUGACGGCUUUAUUCCCAAUAUCAGUCAAUCAAAAGACGGAAUCCACACACCAAAGAACAUCAAUUCGAAACUCGACUACGAACUUUCCAACUCGAUCAAAACCCCCUUCGAAAGAUUGACUCCAUUAACAAUAAUAUUUAGAAAAAUCAAGACUUUAAGACUUCGAAUAGACCCUCAACAGUGACGAACCAAACUCGGUAUCAAGAAAUUUGAAACCCAAAGAUAGAGAACGACAAACCGAUCGGGACAGAAGCUAAAUCCCCAAAAUCAGUACGAAAACAGAUGAACCCAGACAAAAAUCGCGCCAAACAACCAAACCUGAGCUAGAAAUGCGUCAGCAUCCUCUUUAUAGAAACACAACAAUCCAAUUGAUUUAGCACUAUUAGGAUCUGAAAUGAGCACAAAUUCAUUAUUCGAAUUGCUAACAGUGUACACAGAAGUUCCAGUCAGUGUCUUCGCCACAUACUCCGAGCUCAAUCCACUGUUUCUCACUGCCUUCUCUUGACGCUGCGACACCAAAACAAACGGAAAAGAAUGCGCCAUCGACUGGGAUGGAAAACUCUGCCGUAUCGCCGCCGUCAACGGCUGAUGAAUGAAGUCGCCGGUGAGUUUUGAAGUCAGUCGUUUAGCUUCGCCAAAAUGAUUGGUGAGCUCGGCACCGAGAUGGGAGCAGUGUUGAUGGAGAAAAGUGUCCAGAGAGAGAAGAGGAGUAGUAUAUAUAUGCUGUGAGGUGAGGGUGGGGUAGUGAGGUAGGGUUAGGGUAGUAGUGAGGUGGGGGUGGUGUAUGGUGUGAUGUGGUUUAUUUUGAUUGGAUGGGUUGUUAGGAUAAGAUGUAGGGGUUAGGAUAUGAUAGAAUUUGUUAGGGAGUUUGUUAUUUUUUUUGUAUUUUGUGAGGGUAUAAUAACAUGAAUGAGGGUACACGGUAGGAUAAAAUAAAAAUGGGUAAAAGUGAAUAAAAAUUGAACUUUAAGAGGACGAAAUCACGUGUCUACAUCAUGCCCCCUUUGGAUGUAAACACAUAGUGUUUUCAUACAAAGCAGUAGACAAAGAGGCGGAAUUUUGUCAUGACCUUUAUUUAAAAGCACGGAGCAAGAGGAAGGAGGAAAACCAGGUCUUGACUUAGGACAUCCUACCCACCCAAGUUAUGAGGGGAUCAAGUGGCAAGUAUCUCAAAGGAUUGGAAGGAGAUGGACUAUAUCGAGUUGGAUAGUCGAGUGAGGUUCCAUCGAGGUUCUGGUCCGCGGCUCUGUCAUUACAUCAAAAAAAAUGAAAAUUACAAGUUAAAACAUAAAUGAAAUUACAAAAUCUUAUUUAAACAACUUCUGUUGGCUCAUGACUCGACUUUCAUCACCCUAUUCUUUAGGUGGGAUCCUGACUUGCAAUUUCUUUCAACUUGUUACUUGUCUUUCAAUUGCUUCGCUUUGUUGCUUGACUUUUCGUUUCUUCACCCUAUUCUCCAGGCGGGCUCCUGACUUGCUAUUCCAUCACUUUGUUGCUUGACAUUUGAUUUCUGCACUCUGUUCUCCAGGCGGGCUCCUGACUUGCUAUUUCAUCACCCUGUUCUUCAGGCAGGCUCCUGAAACCCAAAAUUAAAAACUAGAACAAAAUUAUCCCAAACAAAAAUUAUAGUAAAGUGGUAUUUCAUUUUUGAAAACAUUGUCCCAUUUUCUAGGAGGGUCCUGAGCAGAAAGUAAAAUUCCAUUUUUCAGGAGGGUCCUAAACAUAAAGUAAAAUUUCAUUUUUCAGGAUGGUCCUGAACACAAAGUAAAAUCCCAUUUUUUAAGAAGGUCCUGAACAGAAAGUAAAAUCCCAUUUUUCAGGAGGGUCCUGAACAGAAAGUAAAAAUCCCAUUUUUCAGUAGGGUCCUGAACAAAAGUAAAAUCCUAUUUUUUAGGAGAAUUCUGAACAUAAGGUAACAUCCCAUUUUUCAGGAGGGUUUUGAACAGCAAGUAAAAUCCCAUUUUUCAGGAGGGUCCUGAACAAAAGUAAAAUCCCAUUUUUCAGGAGGGUCCUGAACAUAAAGUAAAAUCCCAUUUUUCUGGAGGGUCCUGAACAGAAAGUAAAAUCCUAUUUUUCAGGAGGGUCCUGAACAUAAGGUAAAAUCCCAUUUUUCAGGAGGGUCCUGAACAGAAAUUAAAAUUCCCAUUUUCAGGAGGGUCCUGAAUAGAAAGUAAAAUUCCAUUUUUCAGGAGGGUCCUGAACAAAAAGUAAAAUUCUCAUUUUUCAGGAGGGUCUUGAACAGAAAGUAAAAUCUCACGGAUGUGCAUUUCCAAUGGUAGCUAAAUUAAGUGAAGCGAAUUUGCCCCUAUUUCAACAAAGAAAAUUUGUCAGUUAAAAACUUAGUGGUGGCUUGCAGAUCUUGGCUUCUCAGGUAUCUGCCCAGCACUCGUUCCUUUCAUCUUUGUUCUAAAUCACUAACACUUUCCCUUUCUUGCUGCAUCAUUGACCCGGAUCCAGAUUAAGGGAAAUGAGUUCAGACUCGAACAAUGGGUUUCCAUUUUACCAUGCCCCUGAGGUGCACUAUUUUCCCAAAUCUGAAUGCUUUCACGAAUCUAAUAGUCUGUCAGUUGAUAGACUUCCUUUGAUUCAUGUUGAAUUACAAUCAUAUUUUUUUCAUGUGCUAGUCCUUGGCUUUUUCUCAUAUAAUUGGAAAGACUGGUAGUAAAUUUUGAAAUCCUUUCUCGCUUGUUUUGACACAGACUUGACUUAAAAUGUAAAGANNNNNNNNNNNNNNNNNNNNNNNNNNNNNNNNNNNNNNNNNNNNNNNNNNNNNNNNNNNNNNNAAAGAAAAGGGCAAUGUCCCAUAUUCAAAAAGAAAACUUAUCUGAAUACGACAACCAACUCCAAUGAGUAUGACAUGCAUUUUGGAUUAAGCUGCCUUAUCUUCCUAUCCAAACUCUCCAUUUGUUGUUGAGUUCGUGCCUUUGAUGCUGAGCCGCUUCUUCAAAUCCAUUUGACUCAUACAUCACAUCCAAUUGACGACAUCUUAAAAGACUUUCGCCAACAAAUCUUUUUUUUUUCACUUUUCACUUUUCUCUUGAACUCGUCAUCGCCUUACGGUGCCCGUGAGGAUUUUCACCAAUAAGACUCUCUCAUUUUUAUUUCUCUCCACUCACCAUCACCUUAUGGUGCCUGCGAGGGUUUUCACCAAUAAGACUCUCUCAUUUUCAUUUCUCUCAACUCACCAUCGCCUUAUGAUGCCCACGGGGGUUUUCACCAAUAAGACUCUUAUUUUUGUAUUUCUUUCCUGAUUUCUUAUGUUGAGGGAGACAAGUGGUACCUCACAAUGUAUCAUCAUAUCCAUUGCAUGAUUAGCCUUAACAUUACCAAAAAUUGAUCUGAAGGACUUUCUUUGAUUGUAACUUGGCUUUUGGAUAAGGUUAGAAAAGGAUGGUCCCUUUAAUAUUAUUUUAUCCAAAUAUUUUUUAAUUUUAUAAUAUUAAAUAUAUCACAUAGAAAGUUGAAAUGUCAAAAAUCACAAGGUUUGUCUCAUGAAAAUUAGGCUGAAAGGGGUUGACAAGUUGUUAUUUUGGUGUAUGAAUACAGAAAUUGCUUAUUAAAUAAAUAAACCCUCUGAAUGGUAAAGGGACAGACUUUUUUCAUGCAUGCAGUCUUUUAGGUUUCUAUAUUUAUGUUAUUAAUAAUAGGGACAAGGUUAUUCUAUCGGUAGUAAAAGUGAAUUAGCACUUCAAAAACAGAUUUUCGACCACUUUCCUAGCGCAAUAAUAUACUCUUUUUUCCGUCUCAAAUUAUGUGGCAUAAUUUUUAAAAAUAUUUAUCUUAAAUUAUUUAUCAAUUUGUAUUAUUAAAAAAGAGCAGUUCAUAUGCAACUUUAGUUUAUAUUUCUACCAUUAAAGUGCCCAUUAUAUACAAGGUCUGGAGAAGGGACUCACCACUAAAGUGCCUGUUAUGUACUGGGUCAUACUUUUGACAUUAAAGUGCCCUUUAUAUACAAGGUCUGGAGAAGGGACCCAUCACUAAACUGCCCGUUAUGUACAGGGUCAUAUUUCUACCAAUAAAGUGCCCGUUAUAUACAAGGUCUGGAGAAAGGUCCCACCACUAAAGUGCCUGUUAUGCACAGGGUUCCGAAAAGGGUCCGACACAAGGAUGUAUUGCAUGCAGCCUUAACUUAUAUUUCUGCCACAUAUUUAUGUCAGAGUCAGUUUUCAAGGCUUGAAACCGUGACCUCCCUAUCACAUGACAAUAACUUUCCAAGACUUGAAACCGUGACCUCCUUAUCACAUGACAAUAACUUUACUAGUUACUCCAAGGCUCCCCUUUGUCAAUUUAGAUUAUUAAGAUACAUAAUUAUCCUUUUUCUAUUUUAUUCUUAAUAGUAAUUUUUUUGAAGACUAUAUAUAAAUACUUUAUUAUAAUAAGAUGAAGACAUAUAAAAGGUUUCAUUAAUAGAGAGAAAUUGUUCUUUAAGACAUAAAUAAGUAAGCACUUUUAAGACAUAAUUAAUACAUAUCCAUAUGAGAUUAAGAAAAAAAAAAGAGGUUAUUUCCGAGAGAUUCUCAACAAUCCACUUCUUUUAUCCGAACUUGGAAUCGACAAGUUUAUAGAACACAAGAUUAAAUAAUAUUUUUGAAUAUUUGACAUAACAUUAAUUUAAAAUCACAAGAUUUAAAAAGUCUUUUUUUCUUUCUUUUUAUCAGAGCUACAGAGCAGACAGAGGUCAGUCGGUACACAGUAGUAGUAGUGCUCCUCCUCUGUGGAGCAUCCACAGGUAGUACAAAUCAGUGAAAGUGGUGUUGGGUUCGAAAUCGAGAGGGCGUCAUGCGGAAGAUAUUAGUUACAAACUAUCGUGGUGAUAAUUCAGACGACAAAGAAAACAAUACUAAAAACAUAAUAUUAUUAUAUGAUUUGGCCAAUUGACCUACAUAUAAAACCUAAUAUUAAAAAUAAUACUAAAAAGCAUAAAACUAAUGAGAGAGAAAAUCUUCCUCUAAACAAAACUCUUAAAAGACUAUAUUGUGGGAAGUUCAAACACUAUGAAAAUAAUAAACAAUGGUUAAUUAGUUGGGCAUUUAGAAGUUUUGGGUACUCCAAAUCCCUCUUUUCUUUCUUUUCUCGCGUAGUGUAGGUAACUAAACAAAAAUUUAUGUUUUUAUUUGUAGAUAAUAUUACUGAGUGAUUUCUUUUCUCGUGUAGAUAGCUUAACAAAAGUUUAUGUUUUUAUUGUUAGAUAUUACUGUGAGUGAAGAAGGUGCGGUAGCACAUUUUUGGGAUUUCGUACUACGCGGAUUGGUACUCUUUUCAUUUGUUGGAAAUCGAUUUCAAUUUAUCUUUGUGAAAUUUUGACUUAUUUUAAUUAUUUUAUUGUUAGAUCACUAUUUCUUCGGAGGUAAUGAUAUGGAUUAUGUACAUUUUAUCCUCCCCAAAUUCCACUAUGUGAGAAUACAUUGUGUGUAUUGUUGCUGUUGUUUCAUAUCGCGCCUGUGUAUACAUUGGGCAUUUAGAAGUUUUGGGUUCGAAAUUAAGAGGGCAUCAUGCAGAUGCAAAUCCCUUUCGAAUGAAAUUUAGCAACAAUACGCAGUAUAUAUUGUUAGAUCACUACUUCUUCGGAGGUAGCGAUAUGAACUGUGUACAUUUACUUUAAGAAAAGUAAAACAUAAGUAGUGACGGAUCCAGAAUUUAGGGCUUGUGGGUUAUCGUGAGGUUCGGACACAAAUAUUGAUCUUCAAAGCUUUAAGGUUCCGCUUGAAAACCAAAACACUCAGCUAUCUUUUUUAUUUUCUUGGUGCUUUUUGAAGCUUAUACUAAUUUUUAUAUUUUUUUUUUAUAAUUAUACCUAACAAAUUUAACGGGUAUCGAAGUACCAAAAAUACAUAUAGUUCCACCCCUGCUUAUGAGAGAGUAGACAAAAACUUUAUAUACUUAAGUAGCCAUUGUCCAUGAAACGCCCCACAAAAAUCACUUCAUUUGAAAUUUUAAAGUUGAAGUUGGAGCUGAAAUUGUGUUUAGACAUAGUUUUUACAGUUAAUAUUAAGAAUUUAAAUGUAUUUUUGACCAAAAAAAAUUUGAAUAUGGAAUGAAAUUUAAAUAGCAUUAUUUUAUGAAAAUAAAAAAGUUAGGAAUUUUAUGAGGAAAAAAAAAUUAAAAAGUGAAAAAUUUUAAAACAAGGUUUUGGUUAUUUUGAAUUUGAAAUUUUCAUGAUCAAACACUAUUCUUCAAAGAAAGUGAAAUAAAUUUUUGAAAAUAAGUGAAAAAUAUUAAUGGCCAAAAAUAUCUAAUGAAAUUUAUCAUUCUCGACCAUCUUGAGAAAUUGGAGUUGUGAGUGUUAUAGCUUGUAGGGCUUUUAUCUUGCCCUCUUUCUUCAGAAUGUCGAGGUCCAGAGGGACCUGCUCUAUCCACAGAAGAUUUCUCCCUCCUAUAGAAAUUCCCCCUUUUCUUCUAUUAAUUUGCUAUAGUAAAAAGCCACUUCCUAUAGAAUUACACCACUUCAGUUCGGUGUGCAUUUUUGGGCUAAAUCGGUGUGCUAUAUAGCUCACGGUUUCGGGGAUUGGCCCGGGGUUCGGGUGUGCUGUGGGUCAAAAAUUGACCGGGGAGUGCCAGAGAGGUUGAGGAUUGCCCCAGUGUGGUCCGUUUAAAUUUUCGUGGCCAUUUGGGUGGACAAACGGGCGAAACGGCGGGAAAGGGACAUUUUUAUAGCCAAAUCGGUGUGUUAUAUCCCAUGAUUUCAGGGUAGACAUGGGGUCCGAGCGUGCUGUAGGCCGAAAAUUGAUCGGGGUGUGCCAGGAAGGUUGAGGAUGAUCCCAGUGUGAUCAAUUUAUGCUUAAGAGUGACUGAUGGCGCUAAGUAACUCUUGAUAUAUUAUUGUAAUAGAAGUUACAGAGUAGCAACUAAGCAAGCAUUAGAGCAGAUUUAAAGGAUACUACAAUUAACGGUGAUUAUCUAAGCAUUUAUCUCGAACUCCAAUAACGCUGAACACCAAUCAAGAACUCAAUGAUCUCAUUUCAUUGCCACCAACUUCUUCUUUCUUCCUGCAAAAAUCUGAGCUCUCUUACUCAAAUCCAUGCUUGUAUAAUCACUUCAACAUUCCCAUCACAACCCAUCUCAUAAAUCUUUACUCUUCCUUCAAAAGACCCAAUUUUUCUCGCACCCUUUUUGAUUUAACACCAAACCCACCUCUAAUUCUAUUGAAUUCAAUGAUCAGAGCUUAUAUAAGAGCAAAUCAGCAUCAAGAUUCCUUGAAGGUUACGGGUUCAAGCCUUGGAAUCCAACAGCUUCUGGCAGAAAUACAAGGUACCCGUGUGGUGGAGCCCUUUUCCGGACACCGCGCAUAGUGGUAGCUUUAAUUGCACCAGAUUGCCCUUUUAUGUUCUAUUAAUUUGCUAUAGUAAAAAGUCACUUCCUACAGAAUUACACCUCUUCGUGAGAACAAGUUAUGGAUACAACAUAUGCAAAGGACCCAACCAUAUAACAUACCACUAUAUGGAUACAACAUAUAACAUACCCACAAGUGGGGUUUGGGGAGGGUAGAGUGUACCUAGACCGUGGACACUAAGCCUCGAGUACAUCAAAUCAUAGUAGUAGGUAUGGAAAAAGGGAAAAUAUAGCAACAAAUAAUUAAGUGGAAAGUAACCACCACAAAAUAGUGUGACAACCUAAACGCAUUAAACAACAACAGAUGAAAGUAACAAAUAAUAGAGUUAGCCAGUUGAAUAAGAUUAUAUACCUAAUGGGGAGGGAGACCAGCUAUUGAAACAUGAAAUGCCAUAUGUUUUCAUCUUUACCAUAAUAACUACGUUGAAAUGGCGAGAUUUUUUAGAUACCCAUGAUGUCCAGGUCAUCUUGCACGCAUCUCGACUAAUUUCACGCCCUGCCACCUCCCACCGGCACAAACGUCUCGUCUCAAGAAUCAACCAAUGCAAUAUGCUUCAACUAAACGAGAUACAAAAUAAUAAAACAUCACAGUAAAAUUAUCUUAUACAGAAUAAUCGAUGAAUGGCACACUCUAAUUUUUUCUUAAACUUUUGGCGAAUUCCCUCUUUUCUUCUAUUAAUUUGCUAUAGUAAGAAUCCACUUCCUACAGAAUUACACCACUUCAGUUCAGGGCCUAAAGAUUGUAAAGUUGAAAUCUCAAAACAAUUGGAGGAGCAAAGUUGAGCGAUUAAACCUCACGUUUGGUAUGUUGUUUAAUGGAUGUUGUUGUUUUUUGGCAUCCAUAUGAUGCCUUCGAAAGAAAUAAAAAGAAGUUAAAGCUAGAAAACAAUAGUAAGCAUAUUAUAAACUCUUUUCUUUUAUGUUAAGUUAGGAUAUCCAUUAAUGUCUUCCUUCACUAUCUUUUCAUAAUACCCUUCUAGAGAUCCUUUAUCUAACAUAGUUUCAAAUGCCAUUGAUAAAGAAAGCCUACCAGCAGCUUAAUGAAAAAAAUUGUACAUCGAGUUAGCAAACUAAUGCGAUAAAGAUAUUUACUGAGAAAUUAGAACCUAUAUGGGAAAAGUUUUACUCAAAUUUACGUAUUUAGAGGAGUUUGUUCCGUAAGGAUCGUCGGCUGAACAAUCAACAUCAACAAACAGAACCAACAAAAAAUUUCUCACAGAGUUUCAUUAAACUCAAUACAUCUAAUAGUAAUCUCCCUAAGUCGUUUGUUCAGAGCUGUAAACCAUAUUGACGAGCGUAAACAUGAAUAUAAUUAUUUGAUGAAGAAUAAACAUAGAGAAAAGCAUUAGAUACCUCGCUUUCUUGUAGCUAUUGAGAAUACUUCUUCCAGCCAUCAUCGUCAAACACAAAUUGAUCAUCUGAAUCUGAAUCUUCCAUAUCAGGCGUCAUUGGUAAAGGAUCCAAUUUUUUGGAGUCGCUCGAAUCAUCAUCCCCUUUCCCCUCCUCCUCCUCAUCAUCAUUAAGCUUUUGCUUCUUCACCUCCGAUUCCAACUCCAAAUCCGAAUCCGAAUCACUCGAAACACUCGAAACAUACGAGCAUUCGGAUGAUUCGCUCGAGAAAUCAUCCAUCACGAUUCCGAUCUCAGCCGGUGUCGGUUGUGGAGGUAGUGGCAGUAGCCGCAGCGGCGGAGGUGACGGUUGCUCGGAAAACAUCACAACGAAUUGACAUACCAAAACCUAACAUAGAGAGCUGAGAGCUGAGAAUGGUGUAUGUAUGGAGAAAAAAACACUUUAAAUAGAGGUAACUUUUCUUUAAUAACUCUUAGCCCCCAAUACUUACAUUAUUUUUGUUUUUUCCUACAUCAAGUUUGACAAUGAACAAUUUUAAACUCAAAACUUAUUUAAUAGGAAAAUGCAGUCCCAUUUUUGUUAGGACUGGACUUUUUUCGUAUCGGAAUAAAAGAAGGGAUCUUUUGUUGAAUGGCAUUUUCAAAUCUUCUUUUAAUUAAUAGAUUACAAUUUUUUAUUUUUUAGGAAAACGACUUAUUUUUUAGACAGAUCUAUUAUCUAUCAAACUGAUAUAUACAUAGAUAUAUUACCGAUCCGACAAAUCGAUUAUCAAUCCGAUCUAUAUUGGACGGAUCGAUUAUCAAUUCGACAAAUUGAUUAUCGAUCCGACCUAUAUACAGACAGAUCUAUUAUCAAUCCGACAAAUGAGAAUUUUCAAUUUUACCUAUUUCAUUCAUAUGGCUUAAAAAAACCUCGGGUUACCCCCUAACCAACACGAUCGAUGUAAUAGGUCGUCAGGAG